ensembl:lncRNA
UAGAUAGGACAGUGUAGACUCUACAGUCACUGUAGAGAGACCGGAAAGCCAUGUGUAGCCUACUAGAACAUUACAUAGCUGUUUCUGUUGCUCAGUGCCAAAACCAAUAGACCAAUUUUCACCCUACGUCAGAACGACGUCACACAGGUUCAACCGCGCAAGUUGGUUGCAAAAGACAACCAGAAAAAUGUCGUGUUGUGCUGUGGGAUGCCAGAAUCGGAAAUCUGUAAACAAGGAUCUUAAGUUUUACAGAAUACCAGCAGCUAACAAUUCUUUUAAUGCCAACCGCAGACGUCGUUGGUUACAAGCCAUCAGAAGAGCCGAUUGGAACGAAGACCAUAUUAAAAAUGCCAGACUCUGCAGUUCACACUUCAUAUCAGGUAAGUUAACAUUAGAGCUGCACUAAAUCAGACACAUCACUCGGUUUGGCUUACAACAACAAAAUAACCCGGUAAAGUUGUACGCUUAUCUAACAAUAGAACACAGAAUAAUGUACAAGUUUUAGUCGUUCUAGCUAACUUACCUUAAAUUGUGUUACGUUGUCUUGCUAGUAGUUAGCUUGACGACUAGCUAGUGUCGUAAGCUUGGCAAACUCAGGCUAAAUGUACCUGUUACACUAUCGUACUGUCAAUAACUAGAAUACUGUUUUUGGACAGGAGAGGUAUCCAUGGACUUCAAUAGUCCCGACUUUGUACCUUCUGUCUUUUCCUUCUCAACCCAGGGUGAAAUAGACAAUGGCGAUACAAAACUUGAGAGAUUUAAGAGGAAAAGAAAAAGGGAAGAAACCACCCACAGACCACCAGAUGAUGUACAGCGGUCCAAAGAAGCUAGUGAUGAGGUUGCAUCAGAAUCUUCUGGAGCUUGCCUGUCCUCAGAUGACAGCAGAAUGGAGCCUGGUGCGGAUCCAUGCACUGAAGCCACAGUCCCAAAGGUUCUCCAUGAUGAUCUGAAACACAAGUACAGCCAACUUUCUGCAGAGUGUGUCAACCUGCGUUUGGAGAUCGACAAACUGAAAUCUGAGAAUGAGGAACUAAAGGCAACACUCACAAAUACACAAUUUUCCUUUAGCUCUAUCAAGAGUAAAGCAGUGCAGGUUCUGUUUUUUACAGGUCUGACCAGUGUCUUAUUUGAGUGGUUGAUUCACAAACUUAAAGACAGUGUAGAGGUUGUGCGUGGCUCUAUGAACCUGAAGGAUCAUCUAUUAAUCAUCCUAAUGAAACUAAGAUUAGGGCUCUGCAACAAGGAUAUUGCUUUCAGAUUUAAUGUCACAGAAAGUGACAUCUCAAACAUUUUGAGAAGUUGGCUCCCUGUUAUGUCUGCAACUUUAAAGCCUCUCAUAAAGUGGCCAAGCAAGCAUGCAGUAUUAAAGAAUAUGCCAAAAAUGUUUUAAACCUAAAUAUAAACGUUGCAGGUGCAUUAUUGACUGUACAGAAAUUUUUAUCAACAGACCCACAAAUUUAACCUCCAGAGCCCAGACGUACUCGACUUAUAAAAGCCACAACACUGUUAAAUAUUUGGUUGGCAUGUCACCUUCAGGAGCCAUUUCUUUUCUGUCGGCAGGUUGGGGUGGGCGAGUUUCAGAUAAACAAAUUACAGCUGAGUCUGGAUUUUAUGACCUUCUAGAGCAUAAUGAUGAGAUACUAGCAGAUCGUGGUUUUACCAUCAGAGAUGAGCUUGCCACACGUGGUGCCACCCUUAGGAUCCCUCACUUUACCAAAGGUAAAAAGCAGCUCUCUGCUCAAGAAGUGGACAUAUCAAGGCGUUUGUCUAAUGUGAGAAUACACAUUGAAAGAAUAAUAGGUAGAUGGAAAAAUUUCAAAAUUCUGACUACUGUUAUUCCACUCACACAGGUUGACCUCUUGGACGAUAUUGUGAUUGUGUGUGGAGCAUUAACAAACCUUUGUAAAUGUAUAGUCCCAAGACAUUAAGCUUAAUUUAGAUUAAUUCUGUAAGUAACUGUUUAUUGUCAUAAAC